CCUGGAAAUCACACACACAAUCUGAUAUAUAUUGUAUAUCAGAUUGUGUGUGUGAUUUCCAGGA